GACGAACGCUGGCGGCGUGCCUAACACAUGCAAGUCGAACGAAGCAUUUGAAUGGAUCUCUUCGGAGUGAAGCUCUUAUGACUUAGUGGCGGACGGGUGAGUAACGCGUGGGUAACCUGCCUCACACUGGGGGAUAACAGUUAGAAAUGACUGCUAAUACCGCAUAAGUGCACAGUACCGCAUGGUACAGUGUAAAAAACUCCGGUGGUGUGAGAUGGACCCGCGUCUGAUUAGCUAGUUGGCGGGGUAACGGCCCACCAAGGCGACGAUCAGUAGCCGGACUGAGAGGAUGAACGGCACAUUGGGACUGAGACACGGCCCAAACUCCUACGGGAGGCAGCAGUGGGAUAUUGCACAAUGGGGGAAACCCUGGAUGCAGCAACGCCGCGUGAAGGAUGAAGUUUUGGAUCGUAAACUUCUAUCAACAGGGAAGAAACAAAUGAACGGUACU
rnacentral:rRNA from 1 species